rnacentral:rRNA from 1 species
CCUACGGGAGGCAGCAGUAGGGAAUUUUGGUCAAUGGGCGCAAGCCUGAACGAGCAAUGCCGCGUGAACGAGGAAGGUCUUCGGAUCGUAAAGUUCUGUCGACGGGGAAAAAGACCGUAGAGUGGAUAUGCUUUCCGAUUGACAUUACCCUCCGAGGAAGUCCCGGCUAACUACGUGCCAGCAGCCGCGGUAAUACGUAGGUGGCGAGCGUUAUCCGGAAUGACUGGGCGUAAAGGGUGCGUAGGCGGCCUGCUAAGUCGGAAGUGAAAGGUACCGGCUCAACCGGGACAGGCUCUGGGAACUGGCGGGCUAGAGGGCAGGAGAGGGCGGUGGAACUCCAUGUGUAGCGGUAAAAUGCGGAGGUAUAUGGAAGAACACCAGUGGCGAAGGCGGCCGCCUGGCAUGUUAACUGACGCUGAGGCACGAAAGCGUGGGGAGCAAAUAGGAUUAGAUACCCCAGUAGUC